UACAGAGGGGGCAAGCGUUAUUCGGAAUUAUUGGGCGUAAAGGGCGCGUAGGCGGCUUGACAAGUGGAAGGUGAAAUCCCUCGGCUUAACCGAGGAACUGCCUUCCAGACUGUCUGGCUUGAGACCGGGAGAGGUGAGUGGAAUUCCCAGUGUAGCGGUGAAAUGCGUAGAUAUUGGGAGGAACACCAGUGGCGAAGGCGGCUCACUGGACCGGGAUUGACACUGAGGAGCGAAAGCUAGGGGAGCAAACGGG
rnacentral:rRNA from 1 species